AGUUAGUUUUUAAGAUCACCAAUCAUAACCUUACACCGAUAGUUUUUCAAGCUCACUAUCAAUUCAGUUGGUUUUACGGACUCACCAACCAAAAUCUUUCAUAAUUAUUUUUCAGGAUCACAAUUAAACCCAGUUGGUUUUUUGAGCCAACCAAAUAUAACCUACAACAUCCAAUUACGGGCUUGGACUAGCCUUUACCCCA
rnacentral:lncRNA from 1 species